rnacentral:rRNA from 1 species
AUUGAACGCUGGCGGCAUGCUUUACACAUGCAUGUCGAACGGAUCUAGGGGCUUGCUCCUAGGUUAGUGGCGAACGGGUGAGUAAUGCAUCGGAACGUACCGUGUAGUGGGGGAUAACCCGGCGAAAGUCGGAUUAAUACCGCAUACGAUCUACGGAUGAAAGCGGGGGAUCGCAAGACCUCGCGCUAUACGAGCGGCCGAUGUCGGAUUAGCUAGUUGGUAGGGUAAAGGCCUACCAAGGCAACGAUCCGUAGCGGGUCUGAGAGGAUGAUCCGCCACACUGGGACUGAGACACGGCCCAGACUCCUACGGGAGGCAGCAGUGGGGAAUUUUGGACAAUGGACGCAAGUCUGAUCCAGCCAUGCCGCGUGAGUGAAGAAGGCCUUCGGGUUGUAAAGGACUCUUUGUUCCGGGUAGGCAAAUACCUGAUUCCUAAUACG